AUGGCUUUAGUCAGAAAAUAUGGAAAGCCAGACGUAUUCCUAACAAUGACCUGCAACCCCAACUGGGAAGAGAUCACAAGUGAACUAGAGUUUGGACAAACACCACAAGAUCGCCCAGACAUUGUCAAUCGUCCGUCAUGCAAGAACAACUAUCCAAGGCCAUUUAACGAAACUACGACUCAAGGCAAGGACUCGUACCCAGUAUAUAGGAGAUGCAAUGACGACCGGACCGAAACGGUACGAAAUUGCAAACUAGAUAACAGAUGGGUGGUUCCUUACAACCCCUAUCUGUUAAGGAUGUUCAACUGCCACAUAAAUGUUGAGAUAUGA
rnacentral:rRNA from 1 species